ACGUAGGGGGCGAGCGUUGUCCGGAAUCAUUGGGCGUAAAGCGCGUGUAGGCGGCUUGGCAAGUCUGGUGUGAAAGCUCGAGGCUCAACCUCGAGUCUGCACCGGAAACUGCCUUGCUAGAGUCCGGAAGAGGAGACUGGAAUUCCUGGUGUAGCGGUGAAAUGCGCAGAUAUCAGGAAGAACACCGGUGGCGAAGGCGGGUCUCUGGGACGGUACUGACGCUGAGACGCGAAAGCGUGGGGAGCAAACAG
rnacentral:rRNA from 1 species